AAAAACAAAUGUAGUGUGGACAAAUAAACAAAUGUAGUGUGGACAAAUAAGCUAAUUAAACUUAGGCUAUAAUCUUCACGGGUGAUGUUUACCUUACAAAUUAGAAUUUCAUGUUCCAACCGCAACCUCGAGCCACGAGAUCAUAACAUACAUACAUAUUCAUAUGUACAUCACACUCACAGGACCACAGUUGAAAUUCGAGGAAGCUUGAGAUUCUCUGCCUCCAUUUUGAUACUGACUUGCCACUUCCUUUUGCAUAUAAUAAUUAAUUAUGGCCACCUUGACUUUAUUCUUAGGCUAUAUAUCAUCAACCUUUGUUUCACGGUUCUCUUUCAAUGUUGGGGCACAAUCAUGCAAUAGUUUAUGCUUCGUCAUCCUCCCAAAGUCAUCUUCUGCGAAGUCAUCUUCUUUGAUGUCUCUCUGACAACCGUCGACUCUACUCCAAAGAUAGCAUGACCAACUCUAGUCCAAAGAUAACCCGAGAGAGGUAUAAGUUUGAUCAUUGCAACAAAAAAAUUCAUUCUCUUUGUCCAUUUCUGAUUUUGCUACUUCUCAGAUUUUGUCCGUCAUAAAUCCAAUCAUGUUCUAUGCAAUUUUUGAAAUCAAUCUGACUCAUAGUGACUUAAUGUUAUGACAAGUAUAUGUUGAGUAGCUUACAAGUUGCAGUCGAAGCUGCGAAUAAGUCCAAUUAGAGAAGCAUAAGCCCUAUUGAUGCAUGCCACUACACCAAUUGACUAGAAGACACUAAUUUUUUUUCACAAAUCCUUUCACUGUGGUGGAGGAAGGAGAUGCAUCACUCUACUCCUCAUCUUUGAUUGGAGGUGUAAUUAUUUGUCAGUUAAGAAAAAGUUUUAAUCAAGUAAAUUAUAAUCAUGUUUAACGAAAUCUGCCAUUGAAUUCGGAAAUAAUUAAA